rnacentral:rRNA from 1 species
UAGGGAAUCUUCCGCAAUGGACGCAAGUCUGACGGAGCAACGCCGCGUGAGUGAAGAAGGAUUUCGGUUCGUAAAACUCUGUUGUUAGAGAAGAACAGCGCAUAGAGUAACUGUUAUGCGUGUGACGGUAUCUAACCAGAAAGCCACGGCUAACUACGUGCCAGCAGCCGCGGUAAUACGUAGGUGGCAAGCGUUGUCCGGAUUUAUUGGGCGUAAAGCGAGCGCAGGCGGUCAAUUAAGUCUGAUGUGAAAGCCCCCGGCUCAACCGGGGAGGGUCAUUGGAAACUGGUUGACUUGAGGGCAGAAGAGGAGGGUGGAAUUCCAUGUGCAGCGGUGAACUGAGUAGAUAUAUGGAGGAACACCAGUGGCGAAGGCGACUCUCUGGUCUGUAACUGACGCGGAGGCUCGAAAGCGUGGGUAGCAAACAGG